GACGUAGGGCGCGAGCGUUGUCCGGAUUUAUUGGGCGUAAAGAGCUCGUAGGCGGCUUGUCGCGUCGUCCGUGAAAACCCACAGCUCAACUGUGGGCUUGCGGUCGAUACGGGCGAGGCUAGAGUUCGGUAGGGGAGACUGGAAUUCCUGGUGUAGCGGUGAAAUGCGCAGAUAGUCAGGAGGAACACCGGUGGCGAAGGCGGGUCUCU
rnacentral:rRNA from 1 species